rnacentral:rRNA from 1 species
GACGAACCGUGCGAACGUUGUUCGGAAUCACUGGGCGUAAAGGGCGCGUAGGCGGCCUGAUAAGUAGGGGGUGAAAUCUUGCGGCUCAACCGCAAGGCUGCCUUCUAAACUGUCAGGCUGGAGCACGGUAGAGGCAGAUGGAAUUCCCGGUGUAGCGGUGGAAUGCGUAGAGAUCGGGAAGAACACCAGUGGCGAAGGCGGUCUGCUGGGCCGUUGCUGACGCUGAGGCGCGACAGCGUGGGGAGCAAACAGG